UUCGAUUUUUGGCUCAGAUUGAACGCUGGCGGAUGCUUUACACAUGCAAGUCGAACGGCAGCACGGACUUCGGUCUGGUGGCGAGUGGCGAACGGGUGAGUAAUGUAUCGGAACGUGCCUAGUAGCGGGGGAUAACUACGCGAAAGUUGUAGCUAAUACCGCAUAAUACCCUUUCAAAGCGGGGACCUUCGGGCCUCGCACUAUUAGAGCGGCCGAUAUCGGAUUAGUUAGUUGGUGGGGUAACGGCUCACCAGGCGACGAGAUCCGUAGCUGGUUUGAGGACGACCAGCCACAUCGACUAGAUGGCCCAGACUGAUGGAGGCAGCAGCGGGGAAUUUUGGACAAUGGGGGAAACCUGAUCCAACCAUCCUCGCAAGUGAUGAAGGCUGGGUUGUAAAAGCACUUUGGCAGGAAAGAAACGGUACGGGGAUAAUACCCGUGCAACUGACGGUACCUGCAGAAUAAGCACCGGCUAACUACGUGCCAGCAGCCGCGGUAAUGUAGGGUAAGCGUUAACCGGAAUUACUGGGCGUAAGCGUGCGCAGGCGGUUCGAAAGAAAGAUGUGAAAUCCCAGAGCUUAACUUUGGAACUGUAUUUUUAACUACCGAGCUAGAGUGUGUCAGAGGAGGUGGAAUUCGCGUAGCAGUGAAAUGCGUAGAUAUGCGGAGGAACACCGAUGGCGAAGGCAGCCUCCCGGAUAACACUGACGCUCAUGCACGAAAGCGUGGGGAGCAAACAGGAUUAGAUACUCCUGGUAGUCCACGUCUCAAACGAUGUCAACUAGCUGUUGGGGCCUUUCGGGCUCGGUAGCGCAGCUAACGCGUGAAGUUGACCGCCUGGGGAGUACCGGUCGCAAGAUUAAAACUCAAAGGAAUUGACGGGGACCCGCACGCGGUGACGAUGUGAUUACCCGAUGCAACGCGAAAACUACCUACCGCGACAUGUCUGGAAUCCCGAAGAGAUUUGGGGAGUGCUCGCAAGAGAACCGGAACACAGGUGCUGCAUGGCUGUCGUCAGCUCGUGUCGUGAGAUGUUGGGUUAAGUCCUGCAACGAGCGCAACCCCUUUGUCAUUAGUUGCUACGAAAGGGCACUCUAAUGAGACUGCUGGUGACAAACCGAGGAAGGUGGGGAUGACGUCAGUCCUCAUGGCCCUUGCGGGUAGGGCUUACACGUCAUACAAUGGUCGGGACAGAGGUCGCCAACCCGCGAGGGGGAGCCAAUCCCAGAAACCCGAUCGUAGUCCGGAUCGCAGUCUGCAACCUCGACUGCGUGAAGUCGGAAUCGCUAGUAAUCGCGGAUCAGCAUGUCGGUGAAUACGUUCCCGGUCUUGUACACACCGCCCGUCACACCAUGUGGAGGGGCUUACCAGAAGUAGUUAGCCUAACCGUAAGGAGGUUGAUUACCACGGUGGGAUUCAGUGACUGGGGUGAAGUCGUAAUGUGUAA
rnacentral:rRNA from 1 species